UAUUAAAGUUGGGCACCCCUGGAACAUUAAACUUCCUAAGGGCUUGGCAAAAAUGGUCCUUUAACAAUAUGUUUUGAUGCAGUUUGGGAUUGUUUUUCUAUAAGGGUAUUUUAUGUAAUUAUUUGCUUUCAUUGUACACGUGUUGAUGAUCGUCGCUGUUGUGCGACUGUAUUCCAUGUUUAUCUUGCUGAUGGUUAUCAUACUUCCCGAUCCUUCUGCCACCGCUCACUUUAUAUUCCUAGGUGCUCCACCGUCUUCCUUUUAUCUCUGCUCCAAAUUCCAUCACCAUCACCUUCCUACACCGUCAUCAUGACUGGAAUGUUAUGUUCUGCUCCCACUUCGAUGUUCCCCACCGCUCCCCAUUUUAUCAUCCACAUCCAUUAUUCGCUGCUUUAUCACUUCCCGAUCUACCGCCGUACAUACUGUCCCUUCUUUUGCUUCCCCACUCAUCGACAUUUUUUUCUCCCUUCAACAUCAGAUGAACCCUAUUCGGUUCACCGUGAGCAAUUGGUAUUUGAUUUCUCCCGCUAAUCGAAUCAAUUGAUGCCUCAAAGAGCUACAGACAGAAUGAGGUCGAAAGUGGUGACGGCAGCAGAUGUGUCAUCGUUGUUGCCGGCCAGUGACGGCAUCGCGGGCAGUCAGGAAUGGCCAUCGUCUGCCUCUCCAUCUCCACUCUCAACUGAAUUGGCAUCGAUUCCAAGUAUGUCGGUGACGCUACACCGUUCGAACACGAUUGGUGACGGAUCGACACCACCUUAGUACUUGUCUUUCAAGAAAACCCUCUUUUUCUAAUGAAGAUCGUUUCCACCUUUGCUUCAUCCUCGGUGUCUUCUCAGUUGCGAUUGAAUCAGUGUAUGUUUGGAUUUUUAAGUUAUGCAUCUAAUUAUCGUCUUUUCGGUUUUGAUUUGGAUUGUGAAUCCAUUAUUGUGUUUGCUUGAUUUUCAUUUUAUGCUAUUAAAUCGCAGAUGCGCUGUAUAGUUGCUGAGACUGAUUGAUAUUCCUCAGAGGGUAUGUUUCUAUGAUACAUCUUACAUCUGGUACCUUCCUUUCUCUCCUACAAAUAGUUUUUCAAUUGAAUUGCACUUUUUAUAUCCAUUUGUUAUGUAUAGGAAUCCAUGGUUUCUACUUUCUUUUAUAUGUUUAUAAGCUCCUGUAAUUGAUUGGUUAUGUUCUUACAUCGUUUACAAUUUUUCUUGUCUGGUUGUAUAAGGUUGCGUUUUCAGUCAAAUUCAUGUCAGUGUCGUUCUUUCAACUUUAAUUGGUGGUUCAAGUCAUAAUUUUGGUUUUCAUGGAUGCAGGAUGGUAGGUAAGCACAAUCAUCAAAUGAUCAGAUUACAUACACAUAAACUUCAAAUAUUUUCCACUUUUCUCCGUCAUCCUUAAUUGAAUUGGUCAAUUAAUUUUUAAUGCUAUUGCAAGAACCCACUUUUAGUUCUUGAUUGUUUGCAUCAUAUAGGUUUGAAUGUUGUAUGCACAAGAACAGUUACCUAAAUUACCUAUAUAGGUUUGUUAGUUGAUUCGUUUUGUUUAUUUUUGCUUUACUAAGGGAUCUUGGAAUUGCCUAUAUAUUUUCUCACUCUGGGGUAGGUAUGUUUUCAAUCCUUGUGUCACACAUAGUGGAUGCAAGUUCAUGUUUCUAAACUUACUGGAACAACAGAGUAAAAAUUGAAAACAUUUUUUUAUAGUACAACUCUAAUUACAGGUUCCAUAUAAUAUCCCUCAUUUAUUAUUUUACCUUCAAAAUGUUUCAACUAUAAUUAAUUUUGAUGGUAUUUGUGUACAAAGUAACAUCUUUAUAACAAUUUGAUAUUUCAGGGUAUUACAGAUAGAAAUGGGUUGAAUACAUGCGGUGUUUGUAUUUAUAAAGAAAGUAUUAGUCAACUGUUUGUUUUUAUUGAUUAUCUUAGUGCUAUGGUUGAUUUUUUGAUUUGUUGAGGAUUAUGUUGCUUGCUUUCAUUAAGUUUUCCUUUUUCAGUUUAUAGCUAACAUGUUUUCUAGUAAUAUUUCUAAAAUGAAC
rnacentral:lncRNA from 1 species